rnacentral:tRNA from 3 species
GGGGAUGUAGCUCAGUGGGAGAGCAACGCCUUUGCAAGGCGAAGGCCACGGGUUCGAAUCCCGUCAUCUCCA